rnacentral:rRNA from 1 species
AUUGAACGCUGGCGGCAGGCCUAACACAUGCAUGUCGAACGGUAACAGGAAGAAGCUUGCUUCUUUGCUGACGAGUGGCGGACGGGUGAGUAAUGUCUGGGAAACUGCCUGAUGGAGGGGGAUAACUACUGGAAACGGUAGCUAAUACCGCAUAACGUCGCAAGACCAAAAAGGGGGACCUUCGGGCCUCUUGCCAUCGGAUGUGCCCAGAUGGGAUUAGCUAGUAGGUGGGGUAACGGCUCACCUAGGCGACGAUCCCUAGCUGGUCUGAGAGGAUGACCAGCCACACUGGAACUGAGACACGGUCCAGACUCCUACGGGAGGCAGCAGUGGGGAAUAUUGCACAAUGGGCGCAAGCCUGAUGCAGCCAUGCCGCGUGUAUGAAGAAGGCCUUCGGGUUGUAAAGUACUUUCAGCGGGGAGGGAGGGAGUAAAGUUAAUACCUUUGCUCAUUGACGUUACCCGCAGAAGAAGCACCGGCUAACUCCGUG